rnacentral:rRNA from 1 species
GCUUACGGCCAUACCACUCUGAACACGCCCGAUCUCGUCCGAUCUCGGAAGCUAAGCAGGGUCGGGCCUGGUUAGUACUUGGAUGGGAGACCGCCUGGGAAUACCAGGUGCUGUAAACC